rnacentral:rRNA from 1 species
UACGUAGGCAGCAAGCGUUGUUCGGAAUUACUGGGCGUAAAGGGCUCGUAGGCGGCCAACUAAGUCAGACGUGAAAUCCCUCGGCUUAACCGGGGAACUGCGUCUGAUACUGGAUGGCUUGAGUUUGGGAGAGGGAUGCGGAAUUCCAGGUGUAGCGGUGAAAUGCGUAGAUAUCUGGAGGAACACCGGUGGCGAAGGCGGCAUCCUGGACCAACACUGACGCUGAGGAGCGAAAGCCAGGGGAGCAAACGGG